UCGUGCAGAGAGCGAACUAGCGCUACAU
rnacentral:sRNA from 1 species